rnacentral:rRNA from 1 species
UACAGAGGGGGCAAGCGUUGUUCGGAAUUACUGGGCGUAAAGGGCGCGUAGGCGGCCUUCUAAGUCGAACGUGAAAUCCCCGGGCUCAACCCGGGAACUGCGUCCGAUACUGGAAGGCUUGAAUCCGGGAGAGGGAUGUGGAAUUCCAGGUGUAGCGGUGAAAUGCGCAGAUAUCAGGAAGAACACCCGUGGCGAAGGCGGCUCUCUGGGACGGUACUGACGCUGAGACGCGAAAGCGUGGGGAGCAAACAGG